rnacentral:ncRNA from 2 species
UGAGGCCAAUCUGGAAAGAAGGCGUAAAGCCUCGCCGAUGGUGUAAACCGGCCCGCCCGGUGAAUCUCUCAGGCAAAGGUACAGAGGGGGAAAA